rnacentral:rRNA from 1 species
GAUGAACGCUAGCUACAGGCUUAACACAUGCAAGUCGAGGGGAAACGACAUCGAAAGCUUGCUUUUGAUGGGCGUCGACCGGCGCACGGGUGAGUAACGCGUAUCCCACCUGCCCAUCACUUGGGAAUAACCUUGCGAAAGUAAGACUAAUACCCAAUGAUAUCCCACGAAGGCAUCGGAAUGGGAUUAAAGAUUUAUCGGUGAUGGAUGGGGAUGCGUCUGAUUAGCUUGUUGGCGGGGUAACGGCCCACCAAGGCAACGAUCAGUAGGGGUUCUGAGAGGAAGGUACCCCACAUUGGAACUGAGACACGGUCCAAACUCCUACGGGAGGCAGCAGUGUGGAAUAUUGGUGAAUGGACGAGAGCCUGAACCAGCCAAGUAGCUGGCAGGAAGACGGCCCUAUGGGUUGUAAACUGCUUUUAUAAGGGAAUAAAGUGGGUCACGUGUGACUUUUUGCAUGUACCUUAUGAAUAAGGACCGGCUAAUUCCGUG